rnacentral:rRNA from 1 species
GACGAACGCUGGCGGCGUGCCUAAUACAUGCAAGUAGAACGCUGAAGGAGGAGCUUGCUUCUCUGGAUGAGUUGCGAACGGGUGAGUAACGCGUAGGUAACCUGCCUGGUAGCGGGGGAUAACUAUUGGAAACGAUAGCUAAUACCGCAUAAGAGUAGAUGUUGCAUGACAUUUGCUUAAAAGGUGCAAUUGCAUCACUACCAGAUGGACCUGCGUUGUAUUAGCUAGUUGGUGGGGUAACGGCUCACCAAGGCGACGAUACAUAGCCGACCUGAGAGGGUGAUCGGCCACACUGGGACUGAGACACGGCCCAGACUCCUACGGGGGGCAGCAGUAGGGAAUCUUCGGCAAUGGACGGAAGUCUGACCGAGCAACGCCGCGUGAGUGAAGAAGGUUUUCGGAUCGUAAAGCUCUGUUGUAAGAGAAGAACGAGUGUGAGAGUGGAAAGUUCACACUGUGACGGUAUCUUACCAGAAAGGGACGGCUAACUACGUG